UUGUGCCUUAUAACGUAUGUUACAAAAUACACAAAUGACUUAACAAACGAAAGGGCCGUUCUAUUCAUUCCAUGUAGAAUAUAUAUUAGUGGGUGUUUGAAAACUUUGGUUUUGAAUAGGUGUGUUUGUUAAAAUCACACCCGCGAGCGCGCGUUUCUGUCGCUGAAAUUCAGACCACAUGACCCGCUUGCUUCCUCGUCGCUACUACUACUACUUGUACUACGUACAAAUCUAUUGCCUGUUAGACUACAGUGUUUGAAUUCGUCCGCGAAAUGAUGGUUUUUUACUACCUUGCUGAUGACAGAGUUCUGUUAAUUUAUGAUAAAUCCACACUGUGGCUGGAAAACACAAAUAGCUCUAGUGUGCACUUAACAGAAACAAGUAUGAUGGAAUGAAAAAUAAUGGAGACUUCGGCAGUAAGUAAGUUUUAAUUUUUAAUUACUGAUCUUAAAAAGUAUAUAUAUAUAAAAAUAUUUCAGAUAAUGUAUGAUUUAAAUGUAAAUAACUAUAUGGCUUUAUCAUGACAAACAGCCGGUACUUAAGCUUUAUGAUACUGAAUUUUAAACAUGCAUAACUAACUUUAUAUUAAGUGGAGUGUGAAUUUUUUUUAAAUAUAUUUACAUUAAUAUUAGAUGAUGCAUCAGUGAGCUUGAACAUAGCAUUCUCAUCAAACCCUACAAAAUAAUUAUGUAAUAUACAGAUUUAAAGGCAUCAACAACAGUAGAACACAGAAUACGGUGUGUUAAAAAGGGUCAUUUCAUAAACUUAGGUAUUUCACUUUAGAGUAAAAAUUGUAUUAAUUUUUCGUGAACAUAUUGAUGUUUAGUCUUAUUACCUGAUAUUUUACAAAGACUUGUGCAUAUAAAGUGGGUGAUUUUUUCAUAAUCUUAUUAUUUAA